rnacentral:misc_RNA from 1 species
GAUGAAGAACGUAGCGAAAUGCGAUACGUAAUGUGAAUUGCAAAUUCAGUGAAUCAUCGAGUCUUUGAACGCACAUUGCGCCCCCUGGUAUUCCGGGGGGCAUGCCUGUCCGAGCGUCAUUGCUGCCCUCAAGCACGGCUUGUGUGUUGGGCCCCGUCCUCCGAUCCCGGGGGACGGGCCCGAAAGGCAGCGGCGGCACCGCGUCCGGUCCUCGAGCGUAUGGGGCUUUGUCACCCGCUCUGUAGGCCCGGCCGGCGCUUGCCGAUCAACCCAAAUUUUUUAUCCAGGUUGACCUCGGAUCAGGUAGGGAUACCCGCUGGACUUAAGCAUAUCAAUAAGCGGAGGA